rnacentral:rRNA from 1 species
UAGGGAAUCUUCGGCAAUGGGGGGAACCCUGACCGAGCAACGCCGCGUGAGUGAAGAAGGUUUUCGGAUCGUAAAGCUCUGUUGUUAAGGAAGAACGAGUGUGAGAAUGGAAAGUUCAUACUGUGACGGUACUUAACCAGAAAGGGACGGCUAACUACGUGCCAGCAGCCGCGGUAAUACGUAGGUCCCGAGCGUUGUCCGGAUUUAUUGGGCGUAAAGCGAGCGCAGGCGGUUAGAUAAGUCUGAAGUUAAAGGCAGUGGCUCAACCAUAGUAGGCUUUGGAAACUGUUUAACUUGAGUGCAGAAGGGGAGAGUGGAAUUCCAUGUGAAGCGGUGAAAUGCGUAGAGAUAUGGAGGAACACCGGUGGCGAAAGCGGCUCUCUGGUCUGUAACUGACGCUGAGGCUCGAAAGCGUGGGGAGCGAACAGG